rnacentral:rRNA from 1 species
UACGGAGGAUGCGAGCGUUAUCCGGAUUCAUUGGGUUUAAAGGGUGCGUAGGCGGGAUGCCAAGUCAGCGGUAAAAAUGCGGUGCUCAACGCCGUCGAGCCGUUGAAACUGGCGUUCUUGAGUGGGCGAGAAGUAUGCGGAAUGCGUGGUGUAGCGGUGAAAUGCAUAGAUAUCACGCAGAACUCCGAUUGUGAAGGCAGCAUACCGGCGCCCUACUGACGCUGAGGCACGAAAGCGUGGGUAUCGAACAGG